UACGAGGGGGGCAAGCGUUGUUCGGAAUUAUUGGGCGUAAAGGGUGCGUAGGCGGUUUGGUAAGUCUGAUGUGAAAUCUAUGGGCUCAACUCAUAGUCUGCAUCGGAAACUGCCGGGCUUGAGUGUGGGAGAGGUGAGUGGAAUUCCUGGUGUAGCGGUGAAAUGCGUAGAUAUCGUUUGGAACGCCAAUGGUGAAAACAGGUUGCUGGGGAUAUGCUGACGCUGAGACACGAAAGCCAGGGGAGCAAACGGG
rnacentral:rRNA from 1 species